AUUUCAAAAGAUACUUAAUUCAAGUAUUAUUAGUUAUAUUUUGAUAUUAAUUUUUAUAGGAGCCACUACCAUGCUUAUGCAAGAGAAAGCAUAAUAACUAACAGAAUAGUAAACAAGUACCUACUUCUGUAACGCAAAAAAAAAAAAAAGAAAACAAUUUUUUAUGCAUACUCCACAUACUGUAGUUCAAGGUUGUUGACCAAUGGUUUAUAAUCAAAAUUUAAUAUGGCUGACGGUAAUGACAAAGAGAAAUUUAAAGGAAACAUUAGAGAGAGUUUUGUCAAUUAAAGUGACUGCUACAGUUGCCG